rnacentral:rRNA from 1 species
UACGUAGGGUGCGAGCGUUAAUCGGAAUUACUGGGCGUAAAGAGUGCGUAGGCGGUUCGUUAAGUCAGCUGUGAAAGCCCCGGGCUCAACCUGGGAACUGCGGUUGAAACUGGCGAACUAGAAUCUGGCAGAGGGGGGUGGAAUUCCGGGUGUAGCGGUGGAAUGCGUAGAGAUCCGGAAGAACACCGGUGGCGAGGGCGGUCUGCUGGGCCAAGACUGACGCUGAGGCGCGACAGCGUGGGGAGCAAACAGG